AAAGGAAUAGACGGGGGCCCGCACAAGCGGAGGAACAUGUGGUUUAAUUCGAUGAUACGCGAGGAACCUUACCCGGGAUUGAAAUGUACCUGACGGGACGUGAAAGCGUCCUUCCAGCGAUGGCAGGUAUGUAGGUGCUGCAUGGUUGUCGUCAGCUCGUGCCGUGAGGUGUCGGCUUAAGUGCCAUAACGAGCGCAACCCUGACUGUCAGUUGCUAACAGGUAGUGCUGAGGACUCUGGCGGGACUGCCGGCGUAAGCUGUGAGGAAGGUUGGGAUGACGUCAAAUCAGCACGGCCCUUACAUCCGGGGCGACACACGUGUUACAAUGGCAUGGACAAAGGGUUGCUACUUAGUGAUAGGAUGCUAAUCUCUAAACCAUGUCUCAGUUCGGAUCGGAGUCUGCAACUCGACUUCGUGAAGCUGGAUUCGCUAGUAAUCGCGCAUCAGCCAUGGCGCGGUGAAUACGUUCCCGGGCCUUGUACACACCGCCCGU
rnacentral:rRNA from 1 species